CCUACGGGGGGCAGCAGUGGGGAAUAUUGCGCAAUGGGCGAAAGCCUGACGCAGCGACGCCGCGUGAGGGAUGAAGGUCUUCGGAUCGUAAACCUCUGUCAGCAGGGAAGAACGGUCACUGUGCUAAUCAGCAGUGAAUUGACGGUACCUGCAAAGGAAGCACCGGCUAACUCCGUGCCAGCAGCCGCGGUAAUACGGAGGGUGCGAGCGUUAAUCGGAAUUACUGGGCGUAAAGCGCUCGUAGGCGGUAUGUCAAGGCAAGGGGGAAAUCCCCGCGCGCAACGUGGGAACUGCCUUUGAAACUGGCAAACUGGAGUGUGUGAGAGGAUAGUGGAAGUCGAGGUGUAGGAGUGAAAUGCGUAGAUAUCUGGCGGAACAGCAGUGGCGAAGGCGACUAUCUGGCACAUAACUGACGCUGAGGAGCGAAAGCGUGGGUAGCAAACAGGAUUAGAUACCCUUGUAGUC
rnacentral:rRNA from 1 species